CAAUAGCGUAUAUUUAAGUUGCUGCAGUUAAAAAGCUCGUAGUUGGAUUUCGGGUGGGAAUGGCCGGUCCGCCGUUUCGGUGUGCACUUGCUACGCCCACGUUGCUGCCGGGGACGUGCUCUUGAGUUCACGCUCGGGACACGGAGUCGGCGAGGUUACUUUGAGUAAAUUAGAGUGUUCAAAGCAGGCCUACGCUCUGAAUACAUUAGCAUGGAAUAACACGAUAGGACUCUGGCCUAUCUUGUUGGUCUGUAGGACCGGAGUAAUGAUUAAGAGGGACAGUCGGGGGCAUUCGUAUUUCAUUGUCAGAGGUGAAAUUCUUGGAUUUAUGAAAGACGAACUACUGCGAAAGCAUUUGCCAAGGAUGUUUUCAUUAA
rnacentral:rRNA from 1 species